AAGACACGCAUCGGGCUGUGGCCAGACGGUUGGCAGCCAGGGGCCUAGCCAAGCCUCCCUGCCCCCGACGCCCGCGUCCAGGGAUCGACGAUGACAGUUCGCCUGUCAGGACAUCGGAUCAGGCGGCCGCCCCUGGGGACUAAACAAAUCAGGAGUAUGAAAGGGAGAGAACACAGUGCUGCAGGAGUUUAUGCCAAAGGCACGGACCCAGGCAUCAGCGUUUAAGUUUAAACUGUCUAGAGGGUGAGUAGAACUUAUCCUGGU
rnacentral:lncRNA from 1 species